GAUCAGCUUCGUAAGUGUAAAAUCUUCCUGAAGAACAUUGAAAAUACAUAUUAGAGGUGCUUGGGAGAAAGAAAACAGACCCGCCAGUAAAUCAGUAAAUCAAUAACUUUAACAAUAAAUCAUGAAGCCAGAUUCAUCCACAAGGACUGCAGCACGAGGAUCCCUCCGCCCUCAACAAGACCGUUUGUUUGCAUUCAUCAAGUCUUCUCUACAUGCCGGCUGCCUCUAUCUGUAUUUGGCCCUGAAAGAAGAGAUCUUAAUCUACACUGAAGGAGACGGCAGAGAAAUUAGGGAAAACACACACAUUUGCCUUCAUCCUCCCUGUGUUUUGGCCAGGCAGACUUAGCUCUAGAGAGGGAAGCAGCUAUGGACAGGCUGCUUCAGAGCAGGAGACAAACGCCAAUGGCCUUAGGAGCCAGGCAGGUAACAGAGAUGCAGAGAGCAGACAGGAAGUGAUGGGACAUGCUGUUCAGCAGGGAUGCACAUGCUAACCUCAGGCCUCUGGAUUUGAAAAUUUCACAACACCACGCCAGCCCAGCAAACACUUGGGUGGGCGGAACGGCGCCCUUGGAGCUCCAGUCUGUAACUCCUACUCCAGAGGGACAUAUUGUUCCAUUCCUUCAAAAGCCAUCUCACAAAAUCCACCUCCCCUGGAAAUCUGUUCUUCCUUCCUUUACUCAUGGUCCCUGGCCUUUUCUAGCCCAGCCACUCAUUUGCAAGCAGUUACUGAGCACCUGUUUUACACAAAUCACUGUGGAAUAGACACAUGAAAAAGCACGCAAGAGUGGACACAGUCAUCCGAAUUUAAAGCAAAGCAUCUAGAAACGAGAAGAGCAUUUCAGUGAGCUGUUACAUAUAUGUAUUAUAACAGCAUUGCAAUUUGCUAGGGAAAUAGACAGGAUAGAAAUUGCUUCUGUCUGGUGGGAGAGGGGGCAGGCGCAGGAGAGAGGGACACUUAAUUGUGGAGGUGUCCCAGGAGCCCUAAUGGGUUUUGACAGGCGGCACGCAGGGAGGUGGGUACAUCCCAUUACAGGUCUGUGGUUAUGGAUUUUGUCUGUCUCUCGCGUGUACGUUUAUGCCCUCUUUCCUGUAGGAAAUUUGGAAGCUCCCUGAAGGAGGGGACUGCGUCCCCUAUGUGGUUUUCCCGAUUUCCUUGACAUUCCAUAACACCUAUCUUAGUUUCUUGUUACUGAAGCAUCCUUUUCUGGUUGUUGAGAGAAGGAGAAGCUGGAUUCCUCUAUCGGUGGGAAGCAAACAGUCGGAGGCACUUGGGGAACACAGAUAAAGGUAGUGAGAUUGGUGUUGGGUCUGAACGAGCCAUGGAUUCCUGAGACUGUGGCUGACAGGUGAUGUCUCGCCCCUGAUAAUGGCCCAUCAGGACUUCCUCCUCAGCUGAAAGGAGAGGAAAGGCAGGCACACUGGUCCCUAAUUGUCCCUAAUCACGGAUGUUUAGAGACAACCCAGAGGGACGACCUCCCGCGUUAGGGAUUUUACCAGGAAGCAGUGGAUCAGGUUAUCAGCAGGCAAAGGAUAAAGAGUGUUGACUUAGCUGUAGGGGGGUCGGACCCAGGCUGAUUUGGCAAAACCAAUGACACUGGGUCUCAUCCCUUUUACCGAGGCUCCCGGUCUUGUCUGUUUCAGGGUUUCAGGAAAGAUGGAGAUGAAACAGGGAAAGAUAAGAACGUUUCCCAAACACCUGUUAUUUGCUAGACUAAAUUCUUUACCUACAUUAGCUCACUUACUCCUCACGGAGACCCACGAUCAAAUCAGUGAUAGGCAUCGCUGUUCUUUUUUACUUUGGAGGAAAACCGAGAGACGGGGACUGCAUGCCCUGCCUGGGAUCGCGCUUUGAGAAGGCUGCAGGGCGGAGCUUCAGUCCCAAGUCUGCCCAUCAUAUAAGCUUCCUGCUCUAGCUGUCUCCGUGACCUCAGUCAGGAUCCUCAGGAAACAGACUCUGACAGUGUUAGGUGUGGACGUAGAAGGCUUGUGGGGAAUAAUUCUUACAAGAGUGAGGAAAGCAGAAUUAAGCAAGGAAAGAAGUUAAGCUGUGAUGUGAUUGCCAUGGAAACCCCAGCAGAUCCCAGUAGAACCGGGACCAGGGUGAAGCAAGCCUUGCCUUGGGACGAAAUGUAAGGGGUGCCAGGAAACGCAGUCGUCACGAUACAUGAUAUUUUAAUGCAACGUGAAAAAAAAUUAAGCUAACGGUAAAAAAUCCAU